CAAGACUUGACAUCCCGCUGACCGCUCUAUAGAUAGAGCUUCCCUUCGGGGCACCGGUGACAGGUGGUGCAUGGUUGUCGUCAGCUCGUGUCGUGAGAUGUUGGGUUAAGUCCCGCAACGAGCGCAACCCCUAUGUUGUGUUGCUACCAUUUAGUUGAGCACUUACAACAGACUGCCGGUGACAAACCGAAGGAAGGCGGGGAUGACGUCAAAUCAUCAUGCCCCUUAUGUCUUGGGCUACACACGUGCUACAAUGGACGGGACAAGGGGUUGCGAAGCCGCGAGGUGGAGCCAAUCCCAGAAAGCCGUUCGUAGUUCGGAUUGCAAGCUGCAACUCGCCUGCAUGAAGCCGAAAUUGCUAGUAAUCUCGGAUCAACAUGCCGCGAAGAAUUCGUUCCCGGGCCUUGUACACACCGCCCGUCACACCAUGGGAGUUGGGAACACCCGAAGUCGGUGAGGUAACUGCUUGCAGAGCCAGCCGCCUAAGGAGGGAUCUAUAACUGGAGUG
rnacentral:rRNA from 1 species